rnacentral:siRNA from 1 species
CACCGUACCCAAAACCGCACCGCA